CCUACAUGAAGCUGGAGUUGCUAGUAAUCGCGAAUCAGCAUGUCGCGGUGAAUACGUUCCCGGGCCUUGUACACACCGCCCGUCACACCAUGAGAGUUGGCAAUACCCAACGUACGUGAUCUAACCCGCGAGGGAGGAAGCGUCCUAAGGUAGGGUCAGCGAUUGGGGUGAAGUCGUAACAAGGUAAC
rnacentral:rRNA from 1 species